UUUAGAGGCGCCUUUCAAGACACCCAAGGUCACCUUACAGAGCAUAUAGUCAUCAUACAUUUUUUUAAAAACAAGACAUUGUGGAAAAAAAUAAAUAAAUAAAUAAAUUAACAUAAGCAAUAAUAAAUAAAUAAAACAAAAACAAGACAAAAAAAAACAAAACAAAAAAAAACAAUCAAAACAGUGAUCAGUUAGACGUUGUGAGCGAGUUUGAACAGGUGAGUUUUGAGUUGUGACUUGAAGGUUGUAAUGGUGUCUGACUGUUUUAUGUGUGGGGGGAGGGAGUUCCAGAGCCUGGGUGCUGAACAGCUGAAUGACCGGGCACCCAUUGUAGUGAGUCGUGAUGUGGGGAUACAUAGUAGUCCAGCAGAGGUUGAGCGGAGGGAGCGGGAGGGAGUGUAUUCUUGGAGGAGGUCGCAGAGAUAACUGGGGGCUAGGUUGUGGAGAGCUUUGUAGGUGAGGAGUAGGGUUUUGUAUUGGAUACGGUAGUGUACUGGGAGCCAGUGAAGUUGAAUGAGGACAGGGGUGAUGUGGUCAGAUGAUUUGGUGCGGGUGAUGAUCCGGGCGGCUGAGUUCUGAAUGAUCUGCAGUCUGUUGAUGAGUUUGGUGGGGAGUCCGGUGAGGAGGGCGUUGCAGUAUGGAGCUGGGGUGUGUUGUGAUUUAGUGAGGGUGGAUUUGGAUCCGAUGAGCAGGGCCUCGGUCUUGUUUCCAUUGAGUUUCAGGAAGUUCCUGCUCAACCAGCUCCGGAUCUCUUCCAGGCACGUGAUGAGGGAGGUGGGGGGGAUGGCAGCGGUGGGUUUGGUGGAGAUGUAGACCUGUGUGUCGUCAGCGUAGCAGUGAAAAUGGACCCCAUGGUGACGGAGGAGUGUGCCCAGCGGGAGGAGGUAAGUGGUGAAGAGGAGUGGA